rnacentral:rRNA from 1 species
AACGAACGCUGGCGGCAGGCCUAACACAUGCAAGUCGAACGAAGUAGCAAUACUUAGUGGCAGACGGGUGAGUAACAUGUAGGUAUCUGCCCUUUGGCCUGGAAUAACACGAGGAAACUUGUGCUAAUACCGGAUAAGUCUUUACGGAGAAAGCUUUAUGCACCAUUGGAUGAGCCUGCACUUGAUUAGUUUGUUGGUGGGGUAACGGCCCACCAAGGCGACGAUCGG